rnacentral:tRNA from 2 species
GCCUCUUUAGCUCAGCUGGUUAGAGCGCCGGACUGUUAAUCCGUAGGUCCUAGGUUCAAGUCCUAGAAGGGGCGCAA